rnacentral:lncRNA from 1 species
UGCUAGUAUUGUGCAAUCUUUUCAGAAGGAUACACACAGUAGUGCCCUCCACAGAGCAUUUCAGGGAACCAUGAGGGGACUGAUGAAGGAAGCUAAGGCAGCAGAGGAAUGGAAGCUGUGUCCAAGUUGGCUCCAGGCAGCAGGGGGCUCUGCAAGUCUCGACUGGAGCAUCGUACCCGGAGCAACUCCGAUCUAUAUGUCUCUCAUUCUCAUCCUCAUCCUUAUCCUGAGAAUGCCCUUCUCAUGGAAAUGUCGGAAGAGGAAGAACAAGGAGGCCAGUCACAGAAGCACACCCCAAUUCUCUGCUCCCAUCACAUCUACUAACACACUACUGGCCACAGCAGACUACACACCCAAGCUAAGGUAUGGAGAAUUAUGCCCUGCUCACAGCGAGAGGGCACUGUCAAGUUACACACAAAAGGCAUGGAUAUAUUUUGGGAAGAAUAAUUGGGGUCAUUAACGUGGGUGCCUUAUAUGGAAAGGUCUUGAGUCAGUUUCUACAGGAAAUGCAAAUGUAAGUGGGAAAAGAUUUUGCCAUUUAGGACCUUACAAUCUAGGCCUGAACAUGAGAGCAUUUCAUAUAAGGGAGAAAUUAUAUCUGGUUGUAGAAUGAAGGAAGGCUAUAAAGACCAUUCAAGAUGGAUUUCAAUGAACAUGUAAGAUGUUAACAACCAAAUAAGAGAAUAGGAGAAUGUUCUAUGUGGUAGGAACCUCCCCAGAGAUGGCACACAAGAGGGAAAAUAUGGUGAUGUUCAGAAAACAAUCAAAGGUCCUUGAUGGCUGUAGAUCGGAUUUGUCAAUGGUAGGAAAUGACUAAUACAGCCAGAAAAGGUCAGGCUUGUGAUUUUCAGAGUCUCAACUAUAUCAGUAGAGAUCUCAUUUUCGCCAUUACACUGUCUGUGACCAAAUUCCAAGCAAAUGAACAAUUAAAACAGCCACACACAUAUAUUCAUAGACAAGAGACUGAGUGAUUAACUGAGCGAUUGAGUCAUUGAUUGAUUACCAAGAGGCAAGCCUGAGAGAUGCUCUGGGUGUUCCAUCAGGUGAACACCUUCCUCAACUUUUCAAAGGAACAUUUCAUCUGAGAACAUCUGCAUCGCCUGAAACAUACUU